rnacentral:rRNA from 1 species
AUACGUAGGGGGCGAGCGUUGUCCGGAAUGAUUGGGCGUAAAGGGCGCGUAGGCGGCCCGGUAAGUCUGGAGUGAAAGUCCUGUUUUUAAGAUGGGAAUUGCUUUGGAUACUGUCGGGCUUGAGUGCAGGAGAGGUAAGUGGAAUUCCCAGUGUAGCGGUGAAAUGCGUAGAGAUUGGGAGGAACACCAGUGGCGAAGGCGACUUACUGGGCUGUAACUGACGCUGAGGCGCGAAAGUGUGGGGAGCAAACAGGAUUAGAUACCCUGGUAGUCCACACUGUAAACGAUGAAUGCUAGGUGUAGGGGGUAUCGACCCCUUCUGUGCCGCAGUCAACACAAUAAGCAUUCCGCCUGGGGAGUACGGCCGCAAGGUUGAAACUCAAAUGAAUUGACGGGG